rnacentral:snoRNA from 20 species
UAAAAAACUUGUGAUGCUCUUGGGGUCCAUUGUUUACGGUUGAUAGAAGCCAGUUUUGUCAUUUUGAUGAAAUUUCAUCCUAUCCUUAGUUCCAAAACCGCUCCAAUGACUUCCUUUUUAUUGAUUUUUCCUUUUCUUUCCUUGGUUUAGUUUAUUUAUGAUAAGUUAUUGCAAGAAAGGAUAGGAAAAAGACUGAUGAGUGUCGUAGAUAAAUCUUCGAUUCCGAGUAGUCUGACUAUUGGUAUCGAGGUAAUCCAUCUUUAAAACCAUCGCCGUUAGAGGUUGCUUCUGAUUCAUUCGGUUAAGCGACCCAUGAAAUGGUGAUGACCUGAGGUAUGGAACAUCU